rnacentral:rRNA from 1 species
AUUGAACGCUGGCGGCAUGCCUUACACAUGCAAGUCGGACGGCAGCACGGGUGCUUGCCCCUGGUGGCGAGUGGCGAACGGGUGAGUAAUACAUCGGAACAUGUCCUGUAGUGGGGGAUAGCCCGGCGAAAGCCGGAUUAAUACCGCAUACGAUCUACGGAUGAAAGCGGGGGACCUUCGGGCCUCGCGCUAUAGGGUUGGCCGAUGGCUGAUUAGCUAGUUGGUGGGGUAAAGGCCUACCAAGGCGACGAUCAGUAGCUGGUCUGAGAGGACGACCAGCCACACUGGGACUGAGACACGGCCCAGACUCCUACGGGAGGCAGCAGUGGGGAAUUUUGGACAAUGGGCGAAAGCCUGAUCCAGCAAUGCCGCGUGUGUGAAGAAGGCCUUCGGGUUGUAAAGCACUUUUGUCCGGAAAGAAAUCCUUGGCCCUAAUACGGUCGGGGGAUGACGGUACCGGAAGAAUAAGCACCGGCUAACUACGUG